GACGAACGCUGGCGGCGUGCUUAACACAUGCAAGUCGAACGGAAAGGCCCUGCUUUUGUGGGGUGCUCGAGUGGCGAACGGGUGAGUAACACGUGAGUAACCUGCCCUUGACUUUGGGAUAACUUCAGGAAACUGGGGCUAAUACCGGAUAGGAGCUCCUGCUGCAUGGUGGGGGUUGGAAAGUUUCGGCGGUUGGGGAUGGACUCGCGGCUUAUCAGCUUGUUGGUGGGGUAGUGGCUUACCAAGGCUUUGACGGGUAGCCGGCCUGAGAGGGUGACCGGCCAGAUUGGGCAGACGAAGCAGCCAGGAGUGCAGGCGGAAGCAUCAGGGGGUGGUAGUAAAGGAUGGGCGAAAGCGUGUUACAGCAACUCCGCGGACGGGAUGACGGCCUUGGAGUUGUAGGCAGCUUUGGCCUGUGAAGAUAGGUGAGAGAGGGUAAUGGAUAAAGAAGAACCGAAUGACUACGGA
rnacentral:rRNA from 1 species